GCUGAGCUGGGUAACGCUAGCUUGUAAUUCAAGUGGGAGCUUUGAGGUGACUGGACAAUGACUCAACCCAUUAGGUAGGGUGCGUGGGUGCGUAUUUCUAGCCCGCCCGUUCUAAGUCGAGAGUUGAGCCAUGUAGGUCGAGCGAAGGCUUGGGUGGGCACCGCGUGAGGCUGGUUUCACAGAGCAACGAAAACCUCCCGCUCUCGAUAGUGGAAGGAUAACGGGCCGGUGCUUCCCAGACCCGAAUUACCUGAUGGGCUGACAUCAAUUGGACUUCAUCUUU
rnacentral:SRP_RNA from 1 species